rnacentral:rRNA from 1 species
GCUUAACACAUGCAAGUCGAACGGGCACUUCGGUGCUAGUGGCAGACGGGUGAGUAACACGUGGGAACGUACCUUUCGGUUCGGAAUAAUUCAGGGAAACUUGGACUAAUACCGGCUACGCCCUUCGGGGGAAAGAUUUAUCGCCGAAAGAUCGGCCCGCGUCUGAUUAGCUAGUUGGUGAGGUAAAGGCUCACCAAGGCGACGAUCAGUAGCUGGUCUGAGAGGAUGAUCAGCCACAUUGGGACUGAGACACGGCCCAAACUCCUACGGGAGGCAGCAGUGGGGAAUAUUGGACAAUGGGCGAAAGCCUGAUCCAGCCAUGCCGCGUGAGUGAUGAAGGCCUUAGGGUUGUAAAGCUCUUUUGUCCGGGAAGAUAAUGACUGUACCGGAAGAAUAAGCCCC